AACACUGCAAAACAGGAAAGGUGCCAUCAAUGGACUAGACAUUUUGACACAUUUCAGCUGGUAUAGGAUUGGUGGAGAAAUCAGAGAAGAGAAAUUACAGCACAAGACACCACAAAUUCUGUGGCAGAGGAGAAAGCAUAGCAGUGCCUGAGUUAGAGCCAGAUGUCAAAAAGAGGCCACUUCCUCGCCUCUUCAAACACCCACCAGUGUAUACCCGUGGUGCUGAGCAUGAACGUGGUGCAUGAACUUUGCACAGUGGACAGUUGUGCAGAAACAAUGGAGUGGAGAUUGCCAUAAUAUCUAGUUUGCAAAUGGAAUCUGACUGUAGCUACAACAGAUUUUAGAAGUCUGCUUCAUUCCAGCAUCAAAUGACUUCAAUGAUAAAGCAAGUGCACCUCCUAAAAACCUCAGCGAGCAUCUGCUAGUUGGGCCGCUAAGACAACAGGAUGCCAACUGUUCUGAGACCACCAGCUGACUAUCAACUAAUGCCUCACAGCAUGCUCAACCAUCCCUCGGUCAGGUCACAACUGCAAAUAAACCUGGCUAGAUGGACUUCACUGGGAAGCCACUGACAGCUCCAGAGGGCUGACAAAAUGAAUGAGAAGCUGGAGGACCAGGCCUGGGUCACGGGCCAGAUUGGGAGAGCCCCAGGGACCUGCGCAUUGGAAAGGACAGUGGUGGCCAGCAGCAGUCUGAUCUGGCUUGGCCACUGCCUUGUGAUGAAUGCAACGUCCCCUUCCUCUCUACGUCACCUGCUUAAGAGUUAGAGUCCUGGGAGGAAUCGUCUGACUGUUCAGGUCAGACCAUGAGCUCCCCCCAGGUUUGCUCUUCCUCCUGAAGUAGAUGACAUCUGUUCGGCUCAGGUGAAAAGCCUUGGCAUCAUCCGUGGUGACUCACUCUGUCUCACCUCACACCCAGUGCAUACGCAUGUCCUGGAAGCUUGGUUUUCAACAUGUCUCUGCAUAAUCAAACCUCUUCUCAGUAGUUGGGACAGUCAAGAUUUUACCCAUACACAUAUCAUCUGCUCCAUUAAUGCCCUGCUGGGUUGGCCAUUUGGAUUGUGCCCAUUAGAAAAGCACUGGAGUGAAUGAGGGAAGAGGUUGAAUGACUGAUUCAAGAUGGGUUAUCUCCUUUGCUGUGGGAAUUUGAGCUUGUGGGAUUCACAUAGGACACGCACUCUACUUCUGUUUUAGGGCCGUCUGACAUCCUCUGCCAAACCUUCGUGUAACCAGUUCUCCAAUCUUAUCUCUGUGACCAUGCAGCCAAAUUGUUGGCCAAAACAAUGAGAUGGCCUUAAUCAGACCAUCCUUUUUCCAGAAUAAGUGGAUAAUGGACAUGCUCUCCUUGAACUUCUGUCCCUGUGGAUUACUACUGAGAUGGAUGUAACAGCACAGUAAUGCAUUUCUUGCUGGGGCUAUCAGGUUAUGCAGAGUCAUUAUAAACCUGACUUGAAUUUUUUGUACUUUAAUCAACUUCUCCUGCACAACUCUCUGUGAGGCCGUAAGUGUGGGCUAAAAGAGUGGUAGCAGUUUAUCAGAAUUAUUGGAGGUAGUGGCAUCUGAAACAGCUCCCCAAUUAUAAUACACUGAUGAAUGUGUGUCUCAAAAAUGCUAGGACCAGGACAAUCCUUUCUAAAUUGUUCCCCGUUGGCCAGGCAUAUAGCCAUGGGCUGCCAAACAUCUGUUACAAAGUGCAGGAGGAUAUUCAAAGAGAUGAAGAUGAGUUGAGGAGCUUGCCAAAUGACAUAUUUAACAAAUAUAGAUUGUGGAGCAUUUUCACUGUUUAGAAACUUACAGUUGUGACUGAAAUUCAGAUAAUAAAAGGACUGUGAAUUGCCUGCCAAAUCAUUUCUUCCUGCCCAUUACCCUCUGUGAAAGAAAUGAACAUAUUAUUGAUUUUGAAUGCAUACUAUGUGCCAGAAACUAUUUUAAGUGUUUUACAUAUAUUAACUCAGAAUUUAAUUUGUGAGGACAAGAAAUAACAGUCUCAUACAGCAUUCUAGGAAAGUUCCUUGCACUUUUGGAUACAGUUAAUUACAUUUUACAUAAGAAUUUCCCUCAGGUGAAGCAACAUAUAGAAAAGAAACAGAGAAAUAGCUGUUAUCUGAAUAAACAGUCAUUAGUUUUUGAAUGAAAAGUUGUGAUGUUCUUUCUGUUAACAGAAUAAACCUAUUGGUGACAUUAUUCAUUCAUCCUGGACCAAGUAGCCAGAUAGGGCUGAA